rnacentral:rRNA from 1 species
GACAGAGGCCACGAACGUUGUUCGGAAUCACUGGGCAUAAAGCGCACGUAGGCGGUCUGUUAAGUCAGGUGUGAAAGCCCCCGGCUCAACCGGGGAACAGCAUCUGAUACUGGCAGACUCGAGGAUGGUAGGGGUGAGUGGAACUCCAGGUGGAGCGGUGAAAUGCGUAGAUAUCUGGAGGAAUACCGGUGGCGAAGGCGGCAUCCUGGACCGGCAUUGACGCUGAGGAGCGAAAGCUAGGGGAGCAAACGGG